AAGCAAUGGUGAUUUUUAUCCUAAAUUCCAAUUCUUAAGGUUGAUUGCAAAUACGUUGUUUUAUGGUCAUCUUGCAAUUGUGGUCGCAAAUAAGGUUGUCCCGGGUGCGGAAGAAAGUUAAGUAAUGUAAAGAUUGAAGUUAAAGUUGCUUUAUGGAUAUUGGUUGCUUUAGCUAAAUGCGGAUAAUGGUAACGUUGAUAGGAUCCGUAGAGGCCCCUUUGAACUAUGGCUCAUGAUACAUUGAUUGUUUUGGUAUAAUUAUUCGUUUUUGUCAAAUGUAAGAAAUAAGAAGUUUCUGUUACUUCUAUCGAGUCAUUUUGUAUUA